rnacentral:rRNA from 1 species
GGAGUUUGGGCCGUGUCUCAGUCCCAAUGUGGCCGAUCACCCUCUCAGGUCGGCUAUGGAUCGUAGGCUUGGUGGGCCGUUACUCCGCCAACUACCUAAUCCAACGCGGGCCCAUCGUAUGCCGAUAAAUCUUUUCACACUGCACCAUGCGAUGCUGUGCGCUUAUGCGGUAUUAGCAGCCGUUUCCAGCUGUUGUCCCCCUGCAUACGGCAGGUUGCCCACGCGUUACUCACCCGUCCGCCACUAGAAUUUCUAAACAUCCAGCGAACCUUCAGUCUAGAGUUCCCGUUCGACUUGCAUGUGUUAAGCACGCCGCCAGCGUUCAUC